rnacentral:misc_RNA from 1 species
CUUCAUAUUCCACUUCUUGUCCCAUUCUUCAUUGCCUGUCAAACCUGUUAUUACUGAUUAAUUUACCACCAUGACUCAUCACCCUGAAACCAACCCCCACUUCAUUAGACCACUACGGCAGCGUGAAGCCCAACGUCCCCGGGCGCCAUCUACUCCUGGAAGGACUCCACCUACUUCAAGGCUGCCGUCACCAACGCCAUCUGCUCCUGGAAGGACUCCACCUACUUCAAGGCUGCCGUCACCAACGCCAUCUGCUCCUGGAAGGACUCCACCUACUUCAGGGCUGCCGUCACCACCACCGCAGCAUUGGGACCGACAAGACCAGCCGACUAGCGAAAAGGGACAUGAUGAUGGCCCAUUCCAAGCUCCAUUGAAGCAACAUGCAGCCCCACGUCAAGACCAACAUCCCCAUCCAGUACAUGAUCAAAGGCAUGAUGGUGAAUACCGUAGACCCUGGAUGUUUCCACACAGUCGAGAUGAAGACCACCACAAUCAUGAUCCUGGGCGUGAUGGCAAAUACCAUAGUCCAUGGAUUCUUCCACUGUCGCAGCACGAUGAAGACAUCAAGAUCACUCCCCAGCAGAAUCGUCCACCGCAGCAAGAUCAGCAUCGCAAGCAGCCUAAAAGAACUCGGACAACACAACCACAGGAUAAAGACCACUAUCCCCUCCAUCCCAAUGAUGGUCUCCCACCAGCACAGAGACAGCAACAGGACGGCUUUCGCCACCUUCUUGGUUUAAAGGCUCCAGCACCCCAGCAAACCAGGCCAAUAAUAUGGUUAGGUGCAGCGUUGUGCGCCAUUUUCUGGAUUUUAAUAAUCCUAGGAGGCCUCAUUGUGCUCAUUGUGUAUCUAGUGUAUCGCCCACGAAGUCCCGAGUUCGAGGUGUCUAGUGUCACCUUGAAUGCAGCCUACAUAGAUGCAGGUUCUUUGCUCAAUGCUGAUAUCUCUGUGCUUGCAAACUUCACCAAUCCAAACAAGAAGGUUGGCCUGGAGUUCAGUCACAUGAUCAUUGAUCUAUACUACGGGAAUACUCUGAUUGCUACCCAGUAUAUAGAAUCUUUUUCAGCACCAAAGGCAGAGUCCAGGUUCGCAAAUGUUCAUAUGGUAACUAGCCAGGCUCGGCUUCCCUUAGGAGACAGUGCUCAGCUUCAGGAUCAGAUGAAUAGAAAUGGAAUCAUAUUUAACGUCAAAGGAGUUUUUCGGGUGCGAUCUAAGUUAGGAAGUUUACUUGCAUACUCCAAUCGUUUUUAUGGUCAUUGCAUCAUCAUGGUUACUGCACCUCCUACUGGUGUCCUGAGAGCAGCCAGGUGCACAACAAAACGUUGAGAUGCGUCUCCUGAUUAGUAAGAAAUGAUUUUGCAUAUUUUCAAGAAUUAUUCUUCCUUCUUCCUUAAAUAGUAUCAAUUUCUUUUUGCAUCUAAUUGUAAUGUUUUCUGGGGGUUGCGUCCCUCAACUGACUAUUAUCUCUCUUUCAUUACAUUCCCAUCUACAUAACAAUUUUUUUAUUGAGGGAUACAUUCAGUUUGUUUCAUUUAACUCAAUGAUGGGAAUUCUCUGCAAAUUUCUAAAGCAGAUGCCAGAAAAUGGUAACCAUAUAUGUUUUUAUCCAUGACUGCAGAGUUUUCAUUUCUGAUGUACCAAAAAAUAAUAAAAUGCAGAAUUCCAUUUAGGACGUCAAGUCCUUAUUUACAUAACAUUAAAACUGGAGAAAACUUCUCCUUAUAACAGGCUUUAUUUACAAAUGCUCAAUAUGACGAAGACUACAAAAUGCCUCAAAAUCCUGGCUAGCCCUUUCCACUCAGCAUUGACAACAAGUACAUUAAAUAAUACAGAAAAGAAAAAACACACGAAUCCAGACCAGCCAGUUUAACUCAUUACCAAAUGACCAAAUAGAACCUUUCACAAUAAGAAAACACAAACUCCUCUCUUUAAAAUCUCUUGCAAUGAUCUCUUGUAAAGAAGGAAUGCCUGAGGGCAUCAUGAGCUGUUAGUCUUUUGGACGGAUCAUACCUGAGAAGAGCUUGCAAGAGAUCAAUGAUAUCCCCAGCAGAGUGAUCAACAUGCUGCAUUACUAGAUUCUGAAGUCGAUGCAACUUCAGAACAGCUUUAAUACUUUCCCUUGAAGUAGCACCUUCAGGCCAGUCCAGUCUACCCCUUCUGAUAUACUUCUCUCCAUGUCGACUGUCAAAAAUUUAAAAUGAUAAGUAACAGUAAACAACAAAAUGAGAGGUAUCCAUGAAAAAGUAGCUUAAUAAGCAUACUUGACUCUCUUCAGCAUAUGCUGAGGCAGUGGCCCAAGGACCCUUUCCAUCAUCGCUAGGUGCUCCAAAUUCUCAUGGGUUUGGAAUAAUGCCUCACCCUGUAAAGCAGUUGCAGAGUUGUAAAAUGUCUACGUCAACACAACUUCAAAAGACACAAUACUAAACAGUAGAAAGCAAAGUUCAGAUUCGUACGGAGCAUAAUUCCAAUAAGAUGCAACCAACACUCCAUAUAUCACAGGGAUAGCUCCACCCAAGUCCAAGAAUAACUUCUGGAGCACGGUAAUGGCGGGUGGAUACAAUGUAGUUCUGAUCUUGGCGCUCAUAAGUAGUGCUACCAAAAUCAAUCACCUUAAUAGCACUCGACUUUGGGACUCUUUUGAAGUAGGAACUUUCCUUUUGUGAUCGAGACAAACCCUGCAGACCACAGGGUACAUGAAUAGCCAGUCACUUAUGGAACUCACAGAACAAGGUUCAAAACAAUCAGUUGAUGAAAUAGAAUUGCAAAAACAGAAAGUAACCAAAUGUUCAAACAAUACAAAUGGUGUGACCUUGUAAUCAAGAACUUUAAUAUAAUCAGCAGAAACAAGAAGAAUGUUCUCAGGUUUCAAAUCAGUAUGAAUCAGGCGCAAGUCAUGCAUAACUGCAGAAUUCAACAAACAGCAACGUAAGUCACCCACAUACCAAGAAAAGCCCUCUGCCAACCCAAUUAAAUUAAUACAACUAUGCAAUAACAAAUACGUUUCUGAAACUUUUUAACUCUUUGUUGCAAGAAAGAGAUGUGACUAGUUAUUUUUCAAUAAGAAAACAGCAUUUUGUGGGUAUGAAUGUGUGAAAAAAGCACAUCUCGUAGUCAGGUAUAAAGAUAUACCAUAGAACCCACAAUUAAA